UCUUCCGUGAGAAAGGAUCUGAAGGAAGCCGGAUGCAAACACUUGCACUGACGAACGGAAAAUUCAUAUAUAUCAAACGUCCGUAGUGAUAUGAAACGGAAAGUUAAGAAGUCAGCAGACGUU
rnacentral:ncRNA from 1 species